UACGGGGGGGGCAAGCGUUGUUCGGAAUUACUGGGCGUAAAGGGCGCGUAGGCGGCCUGCUAAGUCGGGUGUGAAAACUCUGGGCUCAACCCAGAGCCUGCAUUCGAUACUGACGGGCUAGAGUUCUGGAGGGGAAAGCGGAAUUCCUGGUGUAGCGGUGGAAUGCGCAGAUAUCAGGAGGAACACCGGUGGCGAAGGCGGGAUCCUGGGCCAGUACUGACGCUGAGGAGCGAAAGCGUGGGGAGCAAACAGG
rnacentral:rRNA from 1 species